GGGCCCGUAGCUCAACUGAAUAGAGCAUCUGACUACGGAUCAGAAGGUUUGGGGUUUGAAUCCAUACGGGCCCA
rnacentral:tRNA from 1 species